CCUACGGGUGGCAGCAGUGGGGAAUAUUGCACAAUGGGCGAAAGCCUGAUGCAGCAACGCCGCGUGAGCGAUGAAGGCCUUCGGGUCGUAAAGCUCUGUCCGCAGAGAAGAUAAUGACGGUACUUGAGUAGGAAGCCCCGGCUAACUACGUGCCAGCAGCCGCGGUAAUACGUAGGGGGCUAGCGUUAUCCGGAUUUACUGGGCGAAAAGGGUGCGUAGGUGGUUUGUUAAGUCAGAGGUGAAAGGCUACGGCUCAACCGUAGUAAGCCUUUGAAACUGGUAAACUGGAGUGCAGGAGAGGAGAGUGGAAUUCCUAGUGUAGCGGUGAAAUGCGUAGAUAUUAGGAGGAACACCAGUGGCGAAGGCGGCUCUCUGGACUGUAACUGACACUGAGGCACGAAAGCGUGGGGAGCAAACAGGAUUAGAUACCCUUGUAGUC
rnacentral:rRNA from 1 species